rnacentral:rRNA from 1 species
UGGUCAAGUUAUUAAGGGUGCAGGGCGGAUGCCUUGGCACUAGGAGCCGAUGAAGGACGUGAUAAGCUGCGAUAAGCUUCGGGGAGUUGCACGUAAACUUUGAUCCGAAGAUUUCCGAAUGAGGAAACUCACUUAGAGUAAUGUCUAAGUAUCAUUAAGUGAAUACAUAGCUUAAUGAGGGGAACUCAGGGAACUGAAACAUCUAAGUACCUGAAGGAAGAGAAAGAAAUUCGAUUCCGUAAGUAGCGGCGAGCGAACGCGGAUUAGCCCAAACCAAUAAAGU